rnacentral:rRNA from 1 species
CUGACGAGCACGCCGCGUGAGUGAGAGGUUUUCGGAUCGUAAAGCUCUGUUGUAAGAGAAGAACGAGUGUGAGAGUGGAAAGUUCACACUGUGACGGUAUCUUACCAGAAAGGGACGGCUAACUACGUGCCAGCAGCCGCGGUAAUACGUAGGUCCCGAGCGUUGUCCGGAUUUAUUGGGCGUAAAGCGAGCGCAGGCGGUUAGAUAAGUCUGAAGUUAAAGGCUGUGGCUUAACCAUAGUACGCUUUGGAAACUGUUUAACUUGAGUGCAAGAGGGGAGAGUGGAAUUCCAUGUGUAGCGGUGAAAUGCGUAGAUAUAUGGAGGAACACCGGUGGCGAAAGCGGCUCUCUGGCUUGUAACUGACGCUGAGGCUCGAAAGCGUGGGGAGCAAACA